rnacentral:rRNA from 2 species
AUUGAUUGAUGGUGCUUGCACCUGAUUGAUUUUGGUCGCCAACGAGUGGCGGACGGGUGAGUAACACGUAGGUAACCUGCCCAGAAGCGGGGGACAACAUUUGGAAACAGAUGCUAAUACCGCAUAACAACGUUGUUCGCAUGAACAACGCUUAAAAGAUGGCUUCUCGCUAUCACUUCUGGAUGGACCUGCGGUGCAUUAGCUUGUUGGUGGGGUAACGGCCUACCAAGGCGAUGAUGCAUAGCCGAGUUGAGAGACUGAUCGGCCACAAUGGGACUGAGACACGGCCCAUACUCCUACGGGAGGCAGCAGUAGGGAAUCUUCCACAAUGGGCGCAAGCCUGAUGGAGCAACACCGCGUGAGUGAAGAAGGGUUUCGGCUCGUAAAGCUCUGUUGUUAAAGAAGAACACGUAUGAGAGUAACUGUUCAUACGUUGACGGUAUUUAACCAGAAAGUCACGGCUAACUACGUGCCAGCAGCCGCGGUAAUACGUAGGUGGCAAGCGUUAUCCGGAUUUAUUGGGCGUAAAGAGAGUGCAGGCGGUUUUCUAAGUCUGAUGUGAAAGCCUUCGGCUUAACCGGAGAAGUGCAUCGGAAACUGGAUAACUUGAGUGCAGAAGAGGGUAGUGGAACUCCAUGUGUAGCGGUGGAAUGCGUAGAUAUAUGGAAGAACACCAGUGGCGAAGGCGGCUACCUGGUCUGCAACUGACGCUGAGACUCGAAAGCAUGGGUAGCGAACAGGAUUAGAUACCCUGGUAGUCCAUGCCGUAAACGAUGAGUGCUAGGUGU